rnacentral:rRNA from 1 species
AUGGCGUGGACAAAGGGAUGCCACCUGGCGACAGGGAGCGAAUCCCAAACCACGUCUCAGUUCGGAUCGGAGUCUGCAACCCGACUCCGUGAAGCUGGAUUCGCUAGUAAUCGCGCAUCAGCCAUGGCGCGGUGAAUACGUUCCCGGGCCUUGUACACACCGCCCGUCAAGCCAUGGGAGCCGGGGGUACCUGAAGUCCGUAACCGAAAGGAUCGGCCUAGGGUAAAACUGGUGACUGGGGCUAAGUCGUAACAAGGUAAC